rnacentral:lncRNA from 1 species
AAAAAUUUUCUCAAAAUACUCUAAAUAUGAUUUGGUUUUAUGUUAAAACUUUUAUAAAUUUUGUAUUGAUUAAAAGCACUUGCUCAAAUUUCUUAUCUUUAACUUUAUUUGCUGAUAGUAAAUACAAAGCAUACCCACUAGGCAUGACGCUAUUCUUUAACUUACCUACUAGAUCAAACUCAUAAUUUUUCAUACUUAUUUAAAUAUAAAUAGAGAGUAUGUAUUGGUGGUAUAUCCAUACUUCCUAACGUGUGUGUGUGCUCUACUAUUUAAGCACAAUAGCGGAAAAGCCUUUACUUUUUCCGCAGUCAAGGCAGCAAAAUGAAUACCUUUUUAUUCCUGUCCUUGCUAGUCGUUAGCGCAAAUUGCUUCUACAUUGAUAAGAUUCAUUCAAUUAUUGGGUAAAAUUAACAUCAGAGACAGAAUAAUUUAAUGUGUACUCUAUAGAUAAUGGAGAAGCACAAAGAGACAAAAUUGUUGGUGGCCUCUACUCAUCCAUUGAGGCAGUCCCAUACCAGGUUCAAAUUCUGUUCAAUGGAGUACAAAAAUGUGGAGGAUCAAUCAUUUCUGAGCAGUGGAUACUUUCGGCUGCUCAUUGUUUUGAGAACAAGGUCAGCAACGUGAAGUUGAAAAAAUAAUCGUUCACAAGGAAUACAAUACAGAGACAUACGAGAAUGAUAUCGCCUUGCUCAAACUGACAAACCCAAUCAAGUUCAAUGCUAAACAAAAGUCAAUCACUAUCACAACUACACCACCAAAAGUUGGUCAGAACAUAAAAGUUUCUGGUUUCGGAGACGUAAAAGAUGGAGGCCCAGACUCUCCACUCUUAAAAGCAGCUCUGCUUCCGGUAAUCAGUCGAAAGGUCUGCCAAAAAGCCAACUCUGACGACGAUAUCACGGUAAAUAUGUUCUGCGCCGGAAAUGGGGUAGAUGAUUCUUGCUCAGGUGAUUCUGGUGGUCCUGCUGUCAUCGACAAUAAAUUAGUCGGUAUCGUUUCUUAAGGAUACAGGUGCGCAUCUCGUAAAAAUCCUAGCAUGUACACUCAACUGUACAGAUAUCGCAACUGCAUCGCCAAAAAUUCUGGUAUCAAAUUGUAAAUUACUUCAUUUUAUUAUUUGACUGAAUUUUUGUAAUAAUGUAGAUUCUAUGCUGCAUUAUUUUUUUUUUAUACUAUGUAUUGAAUAUUUAUUAAGUUAAAUUAUAUGACCAUUCUGUACUUUUACUUAUACAGUAAACAACAUUAUUUAUUCAGUAUUUGAAUGUAUGGCCCCCUUCCACAAAUUUUCUAAUUCGCGCAGUUUUACUGUUACAAGAAUCUGCGAUAUUGAUAAAAAUCAUUUCAAUAAUACAUAGAAAUAGACAUCAGACUAUCAACGAGUACUUACAAUAAGUCGUGUGUAAAUAAAGUUUUUAAAAUGUAGAUAAAUUCCAAUUCUGAUAUGGGCACAAGUAUUCAAAAGGAUUCUGUAGAACAUAAAUAAUACAAUCAGAUUAUUUACUUCCCUGGUAGAAAUCUUGAGGAGUUGUUGCCGAUUAAUACCCGAGUUUGAGAAAUUAAGCGAAUUUAUCGGAACCGUUUUCGCCAAUUACCCCGUGACCUGGUGACGUUAACCCGUGGAAAACUCGGUAACAACCCGCCAAGCAAUAUGAAUUUAAAAUUUGAUGUUAUGAUU